rnacentral:rRNA from 1 species
UACGGGGGGGGCAAGCGUUGUUCGGAAUUACUGGGCGUAAAGGGCUCGUAGGUGGCCAACUAAGUCAGACGUGAAAUCCCUCGGCUUAACCGGGGAACUGCGUCUGAUACUGGAUGGCUUGAGUUCGGGAGAGGGAUGCGGAAUUCCAGGUGUAGCGGUGAAAUGCGUAGAUAUCGGAAGGAACAUCAGUGGCGAAAGCGACUUCCUGGACCAGUACCGACGUUCAGGCACGAAAGCGUGGGGAGCAAACAGG